AUGGUCGCAGUAAAAUCGCUUCCUUCUCUGACAACUGUUUCCAAAGCACAAGCCAUGAGCGACCUCUGGCACAUGCUGAUGAUAAUUUUUAUGUUUCCAGGAGUCUAUGGAGCCGAUUCGAUGACCCAGUAUCCACCUCAGACGACGGCCGAGGAAGGGCAAACGGCAACACUGAACUGCAAUUAUUCUGCAACAAUGGGUGCUGACACGGUAUUUUGGUACAUCCAAAGUUCCGCAGAAGCGCCGAGGUAUAUACUGAAGAUAUUCGCCACUGGCCGUCAAGACCCGUCAGCUGACUUCUCAGACAGAUUUUCUGCGGUUUAUGAUAAAGAAAAGCGGAUGGUCCCUUUGAGCAUCUCCGGGGCCCGUGUUUCCGACUCCGCCGUGUAUCUCUGUGCCAUGAGGCCCACACUGGGCCCCGUCAACGCCAAGAACACGAAAGAGACGGAGACCAGGGAUUACAAAGAGCGAGGGCGAAGGAGCAACACAUGCGCCGAUUAA